GUUAAAGAAGAUAAAGAGGUGAACAAGCCCAAUCCUGUCUGAUCUCGGAAGCUAAGCAAGGUCGGGCCUGCUUAGUACUUGGAUGGGAGACCGCCUAGGAAGACCAGGUGCUAUAGGUG
rnacentral:rRNA from 1 species